rnacentral:tRNA from 1 species
GGUAAAAAUAGGAAUUAACCUAUGUAACAGGGGCUACAACCCUGCACCUACUCUCGGCCAUUUUACC